GGACCCGCACAAGCGGUGGAUGAUGUGGAUUAAUUCGAUGCAACGCGAAAAACCUUACCUACCCUUGACAUGUUCAGGACCCUGCUGAGAGGUGGGGGUGCCCGAAAGGGAACUGAAACACAGGUGCUGCAUGGCUGUCGUCAGCUCGUGUCGUGAGAUGUUGGGUUAAGUCCCGCAACGAGCGCAACCCUUGUCGUUAAUUGCCAUCAUUUGGUUGGGCACUUUAACGAGACUGCCGGUGACAAACCGGAGGAAGGUGGGGAUGACGUCAAGUCCUCAUGGCCCUUAUGGGUAGGGCUUCACACGUCAUACAAUGGUCGGUACAAAGGGUUGCCAACCCGCGAGGGGGAGCCAAUCCCAGAAAGCCGAUCGUAGUCCGGAUUGCAGGCUGCAACUCGCCUGCAUGAAGUCGGAAUCGCUAGUAAUCGCGGAUCAGCAUGUCGCGGUGAAUACGUUCCCGGGUCUU
rnacentral:rRNA from 1 species